rnacentral:rRNA from 2 species
AAACCAACAGGGAUUGCCUCAGUAACGGCGAGUGAAGCGGCAAAAGCUCAAAUUUGAAAUCUAGCACCUUCGGUGUUCGAGUUGUAAUUUGAAGAUGGUAACCUUGGGUUUGGCUCUUGUCUAUGUUCCUUGGAACAGGACGUCAUAGAGGGUGAGAAUCCCGUCUGAUGAGAUGCCCAUUCCUAUGUAAGGUGCUAUCGAAGAGUCGAGUUGUUUGGGAAUGCAGCUCUAAGUGGGUGGUAAAUUCCAUCUAAAGCUAAAUAUUGGCGAGAGACCGAUAGCGAACAAGUACAGUGAUGGAAAGAUGAAAAGAACUUUGAAAAGAGAGUGAAAAAGUACGUGAAAUUGUUGAAAGGGAAGGGCAUUAGAUCAGACUUGGUGUUUUACGAUUAUCUUCUCUUCUUGAGUUGUGCACUCGUAUUUCACUGGGCCAGCAUCGAUUCGGAUGGCAAGAUAAUGGCAGUUGAAUGUGGCUUCACUUCGGUGGAGUGUUAUAGCUUCUGCUGAUAUUGCCUGUCUGGAUCGAGGGCUGCGUCUUUUGACUAGGAUGCUGGCGUAAUGAUCUAAUGCCGCCCGUC